rnacentral:rRNA from 1 species
GGAUUAGAUACCCUGGUAGUCCGCGCCGUAAACGAUGUCUACUUGGAGGUUGUGGCCUUGAGCCGUGGCUUUCGGAGCUAACGCGUUAAGUAGACCGCCUGGGGAGUACGGUCGCAAGAUUAAAACUCAAAUGAAUUGACGGGGGCCCGCACAAGCGGUGGAGCAUGUGGUUUAAUUCGAUGCAACGCGAAGAACCUUACCAUCCCUUGACAUCCAGAGAACUUACUAGAGAUAGUUUGGUGCCUUCGGGAACUCUGAGACAGGUGCUGCAUAGCUGUCGUCAGCUCGUGUCG